rnacentral:lncRNA from 1 species
UGCCUGCUGCAUCUCCAAAAGAAUUGAAAGCUGGGAGAACAUUUCUGCAGUGGCAGCUUGGUACAAGACAAAGACUGGCUCUGUUUGUGACUGCUGCUCCCUUGAUGAAUGAAUUUGGGUAACUCAGCUUGGCACUUCCAAUUUUUUUCCUUGCUUUUCCUGCUCUGGCUAUUGAAGUAUUGGAGGAAAGUAAAAUUGAUAUUCUCCUUCAAAGAUGGCCUCACCUGGUGCGUGAAAUGAUCUUAGAUGCUUUCUGCAUCUUAAAAUGUGUAAGCUGUCUUGAAUUCUUCAGGAAGAAACACCUUCUCCAAAGGCAAGGUUAUGUUUUCAAGGUGGUUGCUGAGAUUUACAGACAUGGAACAUAUCUGCAAACUCUACAUCAUCUUCACACUCUUCUGGUGCGUUACUGCUGCUUUUUAUAUUUUGCUGUUUGAUUGAUCUGUAAGAAGGAAAAAAAUUCAAGGAUUGAG